rnacentral:misc_RNA from 1 species
AACGCACCUUGCACUCUUUGGUAUUCCGAAGAGUAUGUCUGUUUGAGUGUCAUGAAACUCUCAACCCCCCUAUUUUGUAAUGAGAUAGGUGCUUGGGCUUGGUCUAUGGUUGCUGCCGGACCCUUUGAUUAGGACCAGCUCAACUGAAAUACAUGAGUUACCCAUUUUGAAAACAGAACGGUUUGACUCGGCGUAAUAAUUAUUUCGCUGGGGACGUUUGCCUUUCAAUAUAAGUGGUGCUUCUAAUGCAAAUCUUACUUUAAGCUUUAGACCUCAAAUCAGUCAGGAUUACCCGCUGAACUUAA